UACGUAGGGCGCAAGCGUUAUCCGGAAUUAUUGGGCGUAAAGAGCUCGUAGGCGGUUUGUCGCGUCUGCCGUGAAAAGUCCGGGGCUCAACUCCGGAUCUGCGGUGGGUACGGGCAGACUAGAGUGAUGUAGGGGGAGACUGGAAUUCCUGGUGUAGCGGUGAAAUGCGCAGAUAUCAGGAGGAACACCGAUGGCGAAGGCAGGUCUCUGGGCAUUAACUGACGCUGAGGAGCGAAAGCAUGGGGAGCGAACAGG
rnacentral:rRNA from 1 species